rnacentral:rRNA from 1 species
CCUACGGGAGGCAGCAGUGAGGAAUAUUGGUCAAUGGUCGGGAGACUGAACCAGCCAAGCCGCGUGAGGGAUGAAGGUACAGAGUAUCGUAAACCUCUUUUGUCAGGGAACAAAGGCGGGGACGUGUCCCGGAUGAGUGUACCUGAAGAAAAAGCAUCGGCUAACUCCGUGCCCGCGGCCGGGGUAAUACGGGGGAUGCGACGGUUAUCCGGUUUUAUUGGGUUUAAAGGGGGCGCAGGGGGUCUGUUAAGCCAGCGGUCAAAGUCGGGGGGCAAACCCCGGCCCGCAGUUGAAACUGGCAGUCUCGAGUAGGAGAGAAGUAUGCGGAAUGCGCGGUGUAGCGGUGAAAUGCAUAGAUAUCGCGCAGAACUCCGAUUGCGAAGGCAGCAUGCCGGCUCCACACUGACGCUGAGGCACGAAAGCGUGGGUAUCGAACAGGAUUAGAUACCCUUGUAGUC